rnacentral:rRNA from 1 species
CCUACGGGGGGCUGCAGUAAGGAAUAUUGGACAAUGGCCGCAAGGCUGAUCCAGCCAUGCCGCGUGAAGGAUGAAGGUGCUAUGCAUUGUAAACUUCUUUUGUCCCGGAAUAAACCCCUGAUUUCUAUCGGGGCUGAAUGUACGGGAAGAAUAAGGGACGGCUAACUUCGUGCCAGCAGCCGCGGUAAUACGAAGGUCCCAAGCGUUAUCCGGAUUUAUUGGGUUUAAAGGGUGCGUAGGCGGGUUGUUAAGUCAGUGGUGAAAGCCUACAGCUCAACUGUAGAAUUGCCAUUGAUACUGACGAUCUUGAGUAUGGUUGAGGAGGGCGGAAUGUGUCAUGUAGCGGUGAAAUGCUUAGAUAUGACACAGAACACCGAUUGCGAAGGCAGCUCUCUAAGCCAAUACUGACGCUGAUGCACGAAAGCGUGGGGAGCAAACAGGAUUAGAUACCCCUGUAGUC